AAGGGGUUGGUACUCUUAAGCAUUUGAGAUAUUUGGAACUAGGAAGAAACCCAGAAAUAAAAAAACUCCCGAGUUCCAUUUACAAGCUACAAAAUUUGCAACUUUUAUCACUGAGGAAUUGUGAAGAACUAAAAGGGUUAACAAGAGAAGUAAAGUACUUAAUUAGUCUCAGAGUGUUAGUCUUAACAACAAUGCAAAAGCAUCUACCAAGCAAUGAAAUUGGCUACUUGAAUUCUCUUCGAUAUUUGAUUAUUCGCAAUUGCAGCAAUUUAGAAUAUUUGUGUGAAGAUAUUGGUCGCCUGAGAGCCCUUCGAAUGCUCAUAACUUCUGAAUGUCCACGGUUAAUCUCAUUACCACGUGGUGUACGAAACUUAAGCUCAUUAGAAGACCUUCGUAUCCGAAGUUGUGCAAGGCUUAAUCUUGAUUUGAGCACAGGAUCAGACAAUCAUGCUGAACUCAAUAGCACAGGGCCUCCCCUUCGAUCCCUUGAAAUUACUGAUUUAUCACAACUGGUGAAAUUGCCCCAAUGGCUUCUUCAGGGUUUGACAAACACUUUGGGAGAACUAUUCAUUCGUGGCUGUCCAGAAUUGUCAUCUCUACCAGAGGAUACGAAUCGUCUCGUCUCUUUGCGAGAAGUAAGAAUUGAAGGCUGUCUUAAACUGACGGAAAGAUGCAAACCAGAAGCAGGUGAAGAUUGGCCUAAGAUUGCUCAUAUCCCCAACAUUCAACUUGACGGAGAGAUUAUCAAGUCAACCGAAAAUUAGGGGAAACUUGAAUUAAAUUUGUGAGUUUUCAAUCUCAUAAUUCAGCCUUGACAAGUAAAUAUCGCCUCCCAUAAUGUUUUAUAUUUAUGUUUUAAUUGUUUUGGGGAAUGGACCGUACAAUGUAAGUUUUUUGUUGUCAGGGCUCACAAACAUGGAUGAGUUAUUUUAUAUCUAUAUUCAGAUAAACUCAGUUGGAGAAUUUUGCUUCUUGUCCCUGAAUACUGUUACAUACCUGAACUGCUGGGUAUAAUUUUCUUCUCUCAAAUGCCUUGUCUUCCUGGUUUGUUUAGCUGCCUUGCAAUCAACUGUGCAUUCAACCAGAGUAGCCUGCCGGUUUAUUUACACAGAACACACACAACUGCACUUUCGAAUGAAAUGUCUUUAUUGAUUGGAAAGAAUAAACAUAGCAGCCCUCCUCACUGCUUUAUUUUGAAACUAAUUACAGUGGUAAUUGUUCUGACUAGAGUGCCAGAACCCCCUAAUUUCCCUCCCAAUUCCCUGUUGUUUUCCUUGCCUUUCCUCUCCUCUCCUUCUGCCCUUUAUAAGCUGCCGUCUGCAUUCAGACCUGCUGAAACCAGCGAGCUCUGCCGUGGCAGUAAGUUCUUUGAAGAAAGAUAAAUGCUGGUAAUCUCUUGACCUCAUUUUUUGGUCUGAUUGCUUGUGUUGCACAAUUUGUUUAUUAAUUUCACCCUAUUUGAGCCACAUCAAUGUCAGGAAUCUCUUAUAGGAUAAAUCAUCAGAUGUUUGAUAGGCAGCAGAAGCGUGCAUUGUUGACAUCAUCAGAGUUAGUGGACAUGAAGCAGUGUGUGCCCUAUAAAAUUUCUGACUGAGAAGCAUCUUAAAGAUGUGACGCCCCAGCUUUAGCUCUUAUUGUUGAAAGAUUGAAAGCGUAUGAUGGAUCUCGUGUCUUACUUGAAUCUGCAAAAGUAAUGUCAAUGGGGCCUACAUCUAAAGACAGCUUGAAGGUUGCAAAAUUUACUUCUAAUGUUUUUGGUGAAGCAUGGAAGCAGGACUAUAUCUUCGAGGGGCAUUCCAACUAAGGGUGCAAGGGCAGAUUCAAUUACAUCUGUUGAAGAUAUAGCUGUCAAAUCACAGGCUUUGUUAAAUGCCAAGGAUUCAAAUAAGGGGAGAGAAAAGUUGUUGGUAGAUUUAAGUUUGAAGAGCCACAGAUAGAGCAGAUCCAAGAUCUUGAGAGAGGAUUUGCACAGAUUUUGAGAAGCAAAUUGAUGGACUCGAGAUGCUGCAGAAGGCGCUCCCAUCUAUAAAAAGGGAAAUUAUUGAAGUAAUGGAUAUACUUCUGAGGAGGAUAAUGCUGAUCGCACUUCAUCCUUUGUUGUCCUUAUUAAUCUCUUGCGUCCAUUAGAUCCUUCAAGGUGGCCUUCACCAGUGACUAAUCAGUCCUUUGCUGCCAGAAAUUAGAGGUUUUCUGAUCUGCUUGUAAAACUCCUCAUCAAACUCAAUAAGGUUCUUCAAAGUACUAUAUAUGAUGCCAAUCUUGACUGCAUUCUUCAAAGCAUUUAUGUACUAAGGAUGCAAGGGCAAAUUCAAUUAUGAUAUAGCUGUCCAGUCACAGGCUUUGCUAAUUGUGAAGGAUUCAAAUAAGGAUGAAAGGGAGAGAAUAGUUGUUGGUAGAUUUAAGUUUGAAGAACCACAGAUUGAGCAGAUCCAAGAUCUUGAGAAUGGUUUGAUGAGAUUUUUCAGAGAGGACUUGCAUAGGCAUCUACUAAGCACAGAUUUUAAGAAACAAGUUGAUGGGCUUGAGAUCCUGCAGAGGGCCCUCCCAUCUAUAAAAAGGGAAAUUAUUGAAGUUCUGGAUAUACUUUUGAGGUGGUUUGUUUUGCAGUUCUGCAAAAAUCUAACACAACAUGCUUGCUGAAGACAUUUCAAUACAAGAGGCCUUCUAAUGAUGUCCAGGAGAGUACUCUUGACAGUCUACUUACUGAGGUCCUACUUUGGCUUUUGGAUGAAAGGGUUCCUCAUAUGGAUGAUAGCAGCCAACUUUUAAAAGCUCUCAAUGUGUUGAUGCUUAACAUUCAGGAUAACGCUGAUCGAACUUCAUCCUUUGUUGCUGCCAGAAAUCAGAUGUUUUCUGAUCUGGUUGUAAAAUGCCUCAUCAAACAGACUAAGUUAUCUUUCAUUGCUGGUUCUUCAAGAUAGUAUAUAUGGUGCCGUUCUCAACCACAUUCUUCAAAGCAUUCAUGUAUAUCUGCAAGAAUCGGGAAUGGAGAAGCCUCAUCAGAUAAUAUUUCAAAUAGAGCUGUAGCUGAGCAAACAAGCUUCAAUUUACCACCUUCAUAUACUGAAGACAUAGGAUCAAUAAUGCCAUUGCAUCAAGAGGUCACGCCUCGGAGAAUCCUUUGGGUGAUCAACAGAAUGAGAAAUAUGUUGAGCAAAAGUGCUUGCAUGUUUAUAAUGGAGAAUUCUAAAUAAGCAGUUGCAAGUUGUGAGCUGGGCUGGAGCAAUGUCCAGACUGGCGGUUUUGGAUACUUCUUGACUCUUGUUGAAAAAGAGAGGCGGUGCUUGCUUUGUUUAACAAGAUAUGGAGUAACCACUGGGACAUUAGAUGCAAUUAGAGAAAGGAUAAAGAACAUGUGAUUAGCUGCAGCAGCCAGGAGCCCUGAAGCCAGAAGCAGGACGUUAAUAAACAUGAAUGACACUCUAAAUCAUGGACUUCCUGAUCAGAAUCGUUCAUCAGAUCACUGUGGUGCUGAGAAUGCUGUAAAGGGUGCAGUUCUCCACAUGGACGAGAAGGACUUCAAGCGUGGAUGGACAGACUAAAAAGCGGAACAAUGGAACACCUUUAAAAACUUUUGUGCAAUAUGAGGAGCCAUCUCUCCAAAGUCUUAUUCAAUCCCCUGCCAUAGAAUGCCUUAUCGUAAAUGGAAAGUGAGCAAGAUUGAACUGGAACUGCAGUCGCCACCAUAAUGUAAAUCUUGAUUCAUUGUAUAUGGGUAUGGCUCCCGGCUUUGCUUGGUGUCUUUUACGAUUGUUGUUACAUAUUCACAAGGUAUUUUUAAUGAAUCUGGAUGCUAAACAAUGUUUCUUUUUCCAGUUUUCUUUUAGCAAAGACCUUGGUGAAGCAAACCGAAGCAAUUCCAUAACCAAUAACUGCUGCAGCAUAAAAUAUGUCCGGCCAUCUGCCUCAUCAUCAAUAAUACUUUGUUUCUGAGCUUAAAGAUUCGUUAUCACUUUUGAUGCCAUUGUCAUCACAAAAAGACUCGGAUUUGAUAGAUGCUCAGAAGGUUAUUUCUAUCUUUCAAAUAUAUAGGGCAGUUGCAUUAUAGCUUUCA